rnacentral:lncRNA from 1 species
GACCCAUUCGUAGUUUGUGCAUGCCUUUGAGACCCAAUACUCUCAUUAGUCCCAUUACCAGUUUGUGCUUCUGGCUCAGACCCAUCGACCACAUUAGCUCUACCUCUACCCACCAUUUGUGCCUCCAAUUCAGAGUGACCGGCCACAUUACUCCCAUUCUUAGUUUGCUCCUCCAACUGGAACCCGUGACCCACAUUAGUCCCAUUAACCAUUUGCUCCUCCAAUUCAGACUUAUCACCCACACCAGUCCCAUUCUCCAUUUGCACCUCCAUAUCGGACCGACCACCCGCAUUAGUCACCCUCACCACUUCAGCUUCUAACUCCGACCCACUGGGCCCC